rnacentral:rRNA from 1 species
AGUGAACGCUGGCGGUAGGCCUAACACAUGCAAGUCGAACGGCAGCACAGUAAGAGCUUGCUCUUACGGGUGGCGAGUGGCGGACGGGUGAGGAAUACAUCGGAAUCUACUUUUUCGUGGGGGAUAACGUAGGGAAACUUACGCUAAUACCGCAUACGACCUACGGGUGAAAGCAGGGGAUCUUCGGACCUUGCGCGAUUGAAUGAGCCGAUGUCGGAUUAGCUGGUUGGCGGGGUAAAGGCCCACCAAGGCGACGAUCCGUAGCUGGUCUGAGAGGAUGAUCAGCCACACUGGAACUGAGACACGGUCCAGACUCCUACGGGAGGCAGCAGUGGGGAAUAUUGGACAAUGGGCGCAAGCCUGAUCCAGCCAUACCGCGUGGGUGAAGAAGGCCUUCGGGUUGUAAAGUCCUUUUGUUGGGAAAGAAAAGCAGCAGGUUAAUACCCCGCUGUUCUGACGGUACCCAAAGAAUAAGCACCGGCUAACUUCGUG